GUUACAGCAGCCGCGGUAAUACAGAGGGGGCAAGCGUUGUUCGGAAUUACUGGGCGUAAAGGGCGCGUAGGCGGCCUGCUAAGUCGAACGUGAAAUCCCCGAGCUCAACUCGGGAACUGCGUCCGAUACUGACAGGCUUGAAUCCGGGAGAGGGAUGCGGAAUUCCAGGUGUAGCGGUGAAAUGCGUAGAUAUCUGGAGGAACACCGGUGGCGAAGGCGGCAUCCUGGACCGGCAUUGACGCUGAGGCGCGAAAGCUAGGGGAGCAAACGGGAUUAGAUACCCUAGUAGUCC
rnacentral:rRNA from 1 species